rnacentral:lncRNA from 1 species
UCAGGGGCAUGAGCCAGCAUGCAGAACUGCUUGCUUUGUUGAUGAGCUGGAAAGAGUUAAGUCACUGAAGAAAGGAAAUGUGACUGAGAGGUUAGAAGAGGAACCUGAGAGUCGAGUCCUGGCUUCCCUUCUUGACUUCACCAUGGAUGUGCUGCAUGACACCGCUCAACUUGGAGAAAGGAAGCACUUAUGUUUUCCGAGAAGCCUCGAAGUCCUGCUGCAGAAUGCGGAGCUCGGUGUUUGUGUGAGUGCCUCUAAAUACAGUUGCACCUGGACUUCCACCUUAAUGCCUCUAAAAUGUUUGGUGCUUUCUUCCAAGAGGUGACUGAGACUUUAAGAACAUAAGAGGCUGGGUAAGUAUCA